rnacentral:rRNA from 1 species
GAUGAACGCUGGCGGCGUGCCUAAUACAUGCAAGUCGAGCGAACGGACGAGAAGCUUGCUUCUCUGAUGUUAGCGGCGGACGGGUGAGUAACACGUGGAUAACCUACCUAUAAGACUGGGAUAACUUCGGGAAACCGGAGCUAAUACCGUAUAAUAUUUUGAACCGCAUGGUUCAAAAGUGAAAGACGGUCUUGCUGUCACGUAUAGAUGGAUCCGCGCUGCAUUAGCUAGUUGGUAAGGUAACGGCUUACCAAGGCAACGAUGCAUAGCCGACCUGAGAGGGUGAUCGGCCACACUGGAACUGAGACACGGUCCAGACUCCUACGGGAGGCAGCAGUAGGGAAUCUUCCGCAAUGGGCGAAAGCCUGACGGAGCAACGCCGCGUGAGUGAUGAAGGUCUUCGGAUCGUAAAACUCUGUUAUUAGGGAAGAACAUAUGUGUAAGUAACUGUGCACAUCUUGACGGUACCUAAUCAGAAAGCCACGGCUAACUACGUG